rnacentral:rRNA from 1 species
GACGAACGCUGGCGGCGUGCUUAACACAUGCAAGUCGAACGGAAAGGCCCUGCUUUUGUGGGGUGCUCGAGUGGCGAACGGGUGAGUAACACGUGAGUAACCUGCCCUUGACUUUGGGAUAACUUCAGGAAACUGGGGCUAAUACCGGAUAGGAGCUCCUGCUGCAUGGUGGGGGUUGGAAAGUUUCGGCGGUUGGGGAUGGACUCGCGGCUUAUCAGCUUGUUGGUGGGGUAGUGGCUUACCAAGGCUUUGACGGGUAGCCGGCCUGAGAGGGUGACCGGCCACAUUGGGACUGAGAUACGGCCCAGACUCCUACGGGAGGCAGCAGUGGGGAAUAUUGCACAAUGGGCGGAAGCCUGAUGCAGCAACGCCGCGUGCGGGAUGACGGCCUUCGGGUUGUAAACCGCUUUCGCCUGUGACGAAGCGUGAGUGACGGUAAUGGGUAAAGAAGCACCGGCUAACUACGUGCCAGCAGCCGCGGUGAUACGUAGGGUGCGAGCGUUGUCCGGAUUUAUUGGGCGUAAAGGGCUCGUAGGUGGUUGAUCGCGUCGGAAGUGUAAUCUUGGGGCUUAACCCUGAGCGUGCUUUCGAUACGGGUUGACUUGAGGAAGGUAGGGGAGAAUGGAAUUCCUGGUGGAGCGGUGGAAUGCGCAGAUAUCAGGAGGAACACCAGUGGCGAAGGCGGUUCUCUGGGCCUUUCCUGACGCUGAGGAGCGAAAGCGUGGGGAGCGAACAGGCUUAGAUACCCUGGUAGUCCACGCUGUAAACGGUGGGUACUAGGUGUGGGGUCCAUUCCACGGGUUCCGUGCCGUAGCUAACGCUUUAAGUACCCCGCCUGGGGAGUACGGCCGCGAGGCUAAAACUCAAAGGAAUUGACGGGGCCCCGCACAAGCGGCGGAGCAUGCGGAUUAAUUCGAUGCAACGCGUAGAACUUUACCUGGGUUUGACAUGGAUCGGGAGUGCUCAGAGAUGGGUGUGCCUCUUUUGGGGUCGGUUCACAGGUGGUGCAUGCCUGUCGUCAGCUCGUGUCGUGAGAUGUUGGGUUAAGUCCCGCAACGAGCGCAACCCUUGUUCACUGUUGCCAGCACGUUAUGGUGGGGACUCAGUGGAGACCGCCGGGGUCAACUCGGAGGAAGGUGGGGAUGACGUCAAGUCCUCAUGCCCCUUAUGUCCAGGGCUUCACGCAUGCUACAAUGGCUGGUACAGAGAGUGGCGAGCCUGUGAGGGUGAGCGAAUCUCGGAAAGCCGGUCUCAGUUCGGAUUGGGGUCUGCAACUCGACCUCAUGAAGUCGGAGUCGCUAGUAAUCGCAGAUCAGCAACGCUGCGGUGAAUACGUUCCCGGG